rnacentral:rRNA from 1 species
AACGCUAGCUACAGGCUUAACACAUGCAAGUCGCGGGGUAACAUCUGGGAGAGCUUGCUCUUCCAGGAUGACGACCGGCGCACGGGUGAGUAACGCGUAUCCAACCUGGCCCAUACCACGGGAUAGCCCGUCGAAAGGCGGAUUAAUACCGUAUGCUGUCAUCAAGAUGCAUAUAUUGAUGACGAAAGGACUGGCGGUAUGGGAUGGGGAUGCGUCUGAUUAGCUUGUUGGCGGGGUAACGGCCCACCAAGGCGACGAUCAGUAGGGGUUCUGAGAGGAAGGUCCCCCACAUUGGAACUGAGACACGGUCCAAACUCCUACGGGAGGCAGCAGUGAGGAAUAUUGGUCAAUGGGCGAAAGCCUGAACCAGCCAAGUAGCGUGAGGGAAGACUGCCCUACGGGUUGUAAACCUCUUUUGUUUGGGAAUAAAGUGCGGGACGUGUCCCGCAUUGCAUGUACCAUUUGAAUAAGGACCGGCUAAUUCCGUGCCAGCAGCCGCGGUAAUACGGAAGGUCCGGGCGUUAUCCGGAUUUAUUGGGUUUAAAGGGAGCGCAGGCCGUGGGUUAAGCGUGUCGUGAAAUUCCGUCGCUCAACGGCGGACGUGCGGCGCGAACUGGUCCACUUGAGUACGCGGGACGUUGGCGGAAUUCGUGGUGUAGCGGUGAAAUGCUUAGAUAUCACGAAGAACUCCGAUUG